CAUUAAAAGAAUCUGUGCUAAGCUUCACUGUAAGCCUUAGAAUUACAAUUCCAACACAUGCUGUGUACUUAUCCUGUUGCUUCCACGGGGUGGAGCUGUCCAUAUGCUUUGUUGAUUGAAAGGUCAGCAGGCUUAAGGUCAGUUUUGCCAGCUGAUUAUUGCAAUUUUGAUGAUCUAGUUGGUUCCCGUGGAAGGUACCAUUCAAACCAUUUGAAUUUAGAUGUUUUCUGUCUGAUUUGUGUUAACAAUAAUUGUUAAAACUUUCAACAACGGAUCUCUUGGUUCUCGCAUCGAUGAAGAACGCAGCGAAAUGCGAUAAGUAGUGUGAAUUGCAGAAUUCAGUGAAUCAUCGAAUCUUUGAACGCACAUUGCGCCUCCUGGUAUUCCGGGAGGCAUGCCUGUUCGAGCGUCAUUAAAACCCAUUCAAGCUCAAUUGCUUGGUUAUGAAUGUUGAGCGCAGCAUCUGCAACUGCUCACCUUUGAAUAUUAUCGGCGAAGUGCUUUGUGCCGUUUUAGCGUUAUAAGUUUGCUCUUUCGCUUGAACGCACAAGGUGAUCCUGCCUUAAAUCCCCAUGUAUUUUUUUUCGGUUGACCUCGGAUCAGGUAGGGAUACCCGCUGAACUUAA
rnacentral:rRNA from 1 species